rnacentral:misc_RNA from 1 species
GGAACAAGUAUGGUCAGCUUGGCCUAGGCGAUACAAUUGACCGAAAUGAUCCUUGUGAAGUACCCACAGACUAUUGUAUGCCAAAGAAUGUAGCAUGUGGGUGGUGGCACACACUAUUACUUGCUGAAAGCCGUCCAUGAUCUCUCUGUUAUUGGAGAACAGAUAAGUAAACCACUGACAACGACUCUCAGGUUUUCUUCCAAGAUUCUGGUGAUGUUAGAGCUGUAGAAUUUGUUAAACUAAUGUACAGCAUGCUGAUUGUAACAUACUUUUAACUCACGUAUUCUUCUCAAGGUCGAAUCUG